rnacentral:rRNA from 1 species
GAUGAACGCUGACAGAAUGCUUAACACAUGCCAGUCAACUUGAAUUUGGGUUUUUAACUUAGGUUUGGGUGGCGGACGGGUGAGUAACGCGUAAAGAACUUGCCUCACAGCUAGGGACAACAUUUGGAAACGAAUGCUAAUACCUAAUAUUAUGAUAAUAGGGCAUCCUAUAAUUAUGAAAGCUAUAAGCGCUGUGAGAGAGCUUUGCGUCCCAUUAGCUAGUUGGAGAGGUAACGGCUCACCAAGGCGAUGAUGGGUAGCCGGCCUGAGAGGGUGAUCGGCCACAAGGGGACUGAGACACGGCCCUUACUCCUACGGGAGGCAGCAGUGGGGAAUAUUGGUCAAUGGACCAAGAGUCUGAUCCAGCAAUUCUGUGUGCACGAUGAAGUUUUUCGGAAUGUAAAGUGCUUUCAGUUGGGAAGAAAGAAAUGACGGUACCAACAGAAGAAGUGACGGCUAAAUACGUG